UGAACAGGGGUAAUUAUUUAUUGGUGUUUUAUUGGGGGGGAACACAUUUCCCAGCAUCCCUAUAGGCAGGAACAGUAGACAUUACCAAGUGAUGUUUGGUAGUGGUGCACUCAUGAGAUUCAUAGUUCAUAACAGUCACAAACAGGGAGCUGUUCAUAAUCCACAUGUGGAAAAGGGAUAAAAUUAUGAAUACAAUACCCGCAAUAACAUUUAGCAGAGCGCCGUCACCGCAAAAGCGACGACGGGCUACCAAUGCCCAUGAAAGAGUAUGUGCACACAGUUACAUAGAAAAAUAGCACUGUCAAAAGUUUUUAAGCUCUUUAAGGUUUCAACCGUCACUUGCUUUAAGCUUCUUUUAAACAAACUGUACGUCUUUGACAUGGCAUCAAAAAGUAGCAAGUCAAAGGUGGUAGAAGAAGUUGUUCUGUCAAGAGAAAGGAACAGUCAGUCUACUAUUUGUUUGUUUCAGGUUAUAUCAAAUUCAUACACACAAGGACUAGAUUACGGCCCCCCCCCAUUGCACUUGAGGCCUUGUCUCGGUGGAUGGUUCCAACAGUGAAUGGGCUCGACUGAGUAAUUCAAGAUGGUCUUGCAGUUACAAGGGAGGCAAGAGAGCAAUACAUUUCCUUUCGAAAAAGUAUGUUGAAAUGCUGAAAAGAAACGUGAGGAUUAUAAUCAUAACAACAGCAAUGAUAAUGCAAGCAAUCGUAAUAAUAGAGCAACAAGGUUCAAAAGGAAAAGACAUUUAAUUCCUAUCUGAAAAGGAAUAAAGUUAUAUAUCCAGCACGGGUUUUUUUUUUUCCUUUUUUUAACAGAAUCUUCUUCCAAAAAGAGUUGAUAGUGCACUAUUCAUUUCCGUGGAAUUAUACAGCCACCAUUAGCUGGCUUCAAAAAAUUGGACAACAAUCAAGCAAAAAAAGCCACAGUAUCGCUGAUCAGCGUGGCGUGUUUUUUUAUAGUCAUCCUAGACACCUGAGAAAACGGAUAAGAAAUCAGAUCUGUCUUUUUUUUAUCGGAAAGAUACUACAUUUAUAUAUUCAAGUUAUGCAAAUUACAUCUAUAAUCACAUAUUCAAGCAUAUACUCAUGUACACACAUAUAUCUAGUGAGAGAAUAGUUUAAUAUUUAAUAUAUAAUAUAAUAUUGUACUUUGUAUGGUACAGUAGAAUUAGGGUGCAUGUUUUUUGGGGGGGAUGUGGGGUUAAUUUCGAGGAAAUGUAUAGAUAUACUCGUGUAGGUCUAUGUAUAUAUAUAUAUAUAUAUAUAUAUAUAUAUGUAUGUAUACGAUCCCUCAUACAAUGAUCAAUAAUCAUAAGAAAUCAUAAGAGCAAAGGUUAUAGGCAAACAGGUUAUAACUGUUGGGUUAUGUGCGUCUGGGUCAAGAGACUGGGUGAGCGCCAUAUAAAAUGAUGGUCGUAAACACGAAGAGUGUUUUUUCCUGCGGCGGAAAAAUACGCAAGCAUGCGCCAGCAUGCAACCCACUCGCUGCCGACUCGACCUGGGUGAGAAAUGCCAAACCAGCACC